rfam:Picea glauca, whole genome shotgun sequence.
GGGAUUGUAGUUCAAUUAGUUAGAGUACUGCCCUGUCAAGACGAAAGUUGCGGGUUCGAGCCCCAUCAGUCCCG